AUCGUUUGAUCCUGGCUCCUUCUUCACGCUGGCGGCGUGCCUAAUACAUGCAAGUCGCUCUCACAGAUAAGGAGCUUGCUCCUUUGACGUUAGCGGCGGACGGGUGAGUAACACGUGGGUAACCUACCUAUAAGACUGGGAUAACUUCGGGAAACCUUCGCUAAUACCGGAUAACAUUUGGAACCGCAUGGUUCUAAAGUGAAAGAUGGUUUUGCUAUCACUUAUAGAUGGACCCGCGCCGUAUUAGCUAGUUGGUAAGGUAACGGCUUACCAAGGCGACGAUACGUAGCCGACCUGAGAGGGUGAUCGGCCACACUGGAACUGAGACACGGUCCAGACUCCUACGGGAGGCAGCAGUAGGGAAUCUUCCGCAAUGGGCGAAAGCCUGACGGAGCAACGCCGCGUGAGUGAUGAAGGGUUUCGGCUCGUAAAACUCUGUUAUUAGGGAAGAACAAAUGUGUAAGUAACUGUGCACAUCUUGACGGUACCUAAUCAGAAAGCCACGGCUAACUACGUGCCAGCAGCAGCGGUAAUAC
rnacentral:rRNA from 1 species